rnacentral:tRNA from 1 species
GCUGGGGUGGCGGAAUUGGUAUACGCGCUAGUCUUAGGAACUAGUUCCCUUGUGGAUUAGGAGUUCAAGUCUCCUCCCCAGCA